rnacentral:rRNA from 1 species
UACGUAGGGAGCCAGCGUUGUCCGGAUUUACUGGGCGUAAAGAGCGCGUAGGCGGUUUGGUAAGCGGAGGGUGAAAUCCCAGGGCUCAACUCUGGGGCUGCUCUCCGAACUGUCAGACUAGAGUACGGGAGAGGACAGUGGAAUUCCUGGUGUAGCGGUGGAAUGCGUAAAUAUCAGGAGGAACACCCGUGGCGAAGGCUGCUGUCUGGAACGUUACUGACGCUGAGGCGCGAAAGCUAGGGGAGCGAACGGG